UACGAAGGGGGCUAGCGUUGCUCGGAAUCACUGGGCGUAAAGGGUGCGUAGGCGGGUCUUUAAGUCAGGGGUGAAAUCCUGGAGCUCAACUCCAGAACUGCCUUUGAUACUGAAGAUCUUGAGUUCGGGAGAGGCGAGUGGAACUGCGAGUGUAGAGGUGAAAUUCGUAGAUAUUCGCAAGAACACCAGUGGCGAAGGUGGCUCACUGGCCCGAUACUGACGCUGAGGCACGAAAGCGUGGGGAGCAAACAGG
rnacentral:rRNA from 1 species